rnacentral:lncRNA from 1 species
CCCGCCGCCAUCCGUCCUGGCGCUCCGGAUGAGUCAAUGAGGGGCAGGGCCCGAGGAGUGGUCUUCCCAAGAACCCCUGGUGGCCUCCCAAGGCCGGUGCUGUGUACCUCCUCCCCGACAAAAGGGGAAACUGAGGCCCCGAGGGGAGUGGGAAGAGCCGGCUGGACGUCAGGCCCAGCCGCUGGUGCAGUGGUCCGUCCCCUCUGCCGGGGUGGGCCCCUCGGGUUUCGCGUGUCCUCGGGAAAGAGACUGGCGGGCCUCGUGGGCUGUGCGGCUAUCCUGGAGACAGAUGACAGCUCUCCCUUGGAUGGCUUUGCUGGUUCCGCACCAGCCAGCGCCCCCAUUUUUCCUGCAGCACCCUGAUCUGCACUCCCUGAGGGGCUCCCACUGUCCGCGGUGUGAGGAUGUCCCUGGAUAGUCCACUGUGUGCAGAGGCAUGGGAGUUGUCAUGUUGGGAACAUGCUAGACCUCAGUAUCCUUGAGCUUGAAGAAAGACGACAGAACACUGGAGACCAAGUACUUACAGCCUUCUGCUCUGUGGCCCCUCCUCACUCCAGGGAUGCUGCCUUGGGUCUGGAAACUGUUAGAGGAAACCCCAAGAGGUGCAGGCACUGAGCCUCUCAGGACAAUGACCUGGGGUCCCAGCUCCCCUGGAGGGGCCUCCUCAUGAUUGUUUGGGGGUUGAUCACAGACCAAGAGUGACGAGUGAUGUCACCCUGUGACUCAUGGCUGGACCUUCUUGCCCCUAUUGUCUCAGCACAACAUUAUUCGACUUUUCCCUCAGCGUGGGUGGGCAGAGGAAAAGCCCUGUGGCUCUGGGGACUUGGGAUCCAGAGUUGAAGACCCUUCAGCUGGCUCUGCCCUGCCAGUGCCACAGAGUGCCAUGGCCCAGGAAGACAGGUUUUCUUCCAUCUAGGCCAGGCCAUCCAGUGGCCAUCCUCCGUGUCCUCCCGCCUCCUCCUGGUGUGACUUCUGAAAACCAAGAAUUUGUUCCUGUUGACUUUUUCUGUGCUAUGGACCAUUGUCCUCUCACCCACUCAAUAAAUCUUGAAACAUGC